rnacentral:rRNA from 1 species
CCUACGGGAGGCAGCAGUGAGGAAUAUUGGUCAAUGGACAAGAGUCUGAACCAGCCAAGUAGCGUGAAGGAUGACUGCCCUAUGGGUUGUAAACUUCUUUUAUAUGGGAAUAAAAUGUUCCACGUGUGGGAUUUUGUAUGUACCAUAUGAAUAAGGAUCGGCUAACUCCGUGCCAGCAGCCGCGGUAAUACGGAGGAUCCGAGCGUUAUCCGGAUUUAUUGGGUUUAAAGGGAGCGUAGGUGGAUUGUUAAGUCAGUUGGGAAAGUUUGCGGCUUAACCGUAAAAUUGCAGUUGAAACUGGCAGUCUUGAGUACAGUAGAGGUGGGCGGAAUUCGUGGUGUAGCGGUGAAAUGCUUAGAUAUCACGAAGAACUCCGAUUGCGAAGGCAGCUCACUGGACUGCAACUGACACUGAGGCUCGAAAGUGUGGGUAUCAAACAGGAUUAGAUACCCGAGUAGUC